CAUCAUGUGUAAAAGAAGGGUAAGAGGAAGGCAGUAAGCUGUGAGAAAAGCUCAGGUGAUUCAGGGCUUUAAAUAAGAAGUUAAGGAAUUUGGACUUUAUCCUAGUAAUUGUGACAUUUAUGAUAUCAGAAUAUGAUCUGAGAAGGCAGAAAUGCUGCUGAUUUUUCCAAAAAAAACCCACAAGGCAUUGGAAGCAAAGAAUUUCCGAGCUGCAAUAGAAUAUGGGAAGCAAGAUUUUGAAGUUGAGGACGUAAGACUUGAUUUCAAGAAGCACAUGUCAAUGAGUUAUAAGAUAAAUAGUGCUCUCCAGAGGUGUGUUUCUUUAAGCCUCUGCAGGUUUUAAUUUAAAUUCAGCUCCUGUAGUUUUGCAUUUUAAGAUUCUCCCAAUAGAGAAGGGAAUUAAGCAAAUGAGAGAGCCUCAAACAAAAGGAAGCACAGAAGAUGGUAAAUUGCCAAAUGCAAUCAAGGCUGGUGAAGGUGUGACUGCAGCUCUUGACCCACAUUGUUGCCAUGGAAACCAAAGCUCGGUGGUCCUGGAGUGCUUUCCCUUUAAAAGGACAGAUUGGCUUUAGAGAAUAGUUAAGACUGCAAAUUAUGGAUGUUGGAUCAUCCAUUGUCACAUGUAUUCUAAAUUCUUGUUAGUGACGGAGACAAUGGCUACCUGGGUCUGAGGUGAACUCCCCAGCAGCCCAGAGGCUGUCAAAAGCGUAAGACUGAGACUCAGUAAAGGGCAGAGUUUAGCUGUUGCCUCAGGCUCACUUUCCCAGCUCCACCCUAGACUAAACUGGACUGACAUAGAAGAGGAAUACAAUGAGCUAGGUAUUUCCAAGAAGACUGUAGUUCACUUUAAAUGCCUAGCAUUGGAGUGCCCUCUGUGCAACAGCACCGUAUUUAGGCUUUAUGUGAAGUAUCUGUCUUAAAUCACCAACAAUUUCAUCUCGCAGAUAUUGUUAAUACUCCCGUUUUACAGAUUCUUUGCUUUCAAACAUUUUGCUUAAUAAAAUUGUGAGAAAUAUGCCCACCUGUCCAAACCCAAAGAAUGGACUUAGAGGCAUGAAGAACAGUGAAGGUGAGACUUUUAAUAACGUUCUGGCAAGAUCAGUUGUCUGGAAGACAUGCACACCUGGGCAAUUA
rnacentral:lncRNA from 1 species